UUGUGAGAGCAAGAGCCCGGAGAUGGAUUCUGAGACACGAAUCCAGGUCGUACGGGGCGCAGCAGGCGCGAAAACUUUACACUGCGCGAAAGCGCGAUAAGGGGACCUCGAGUGCGUGCGCAAUGCGUACGCUUUUCAGAUGCCUAAAAAGCAUCUGGAAUAAGGGCCGGGCAAGACCGGUGCCAGCCGCCGCGGUAACACCGGCGGCUCAAGUGGUGGCCGCUAUUAUUGGGCUUAAAGGGUCCGUAGCCGGACCAGUUAGUCCCUUGGGAAAUCUUACGGCUUAACCGUAAGGCUGCCAAUGGAUACUGCUGGUCUUGGGACCGGGAGAGGCAAGAGGUACCUCAGGGGUAGGAGUGAAACCCUGUAAUCCUUGAGGGACCGCCAGUGGCGAAGGCGUCUUGCUAGAACGGGUCCGACGGUGAGGGACGAAAGCUAGGGGCACGAACCGGAUUAGAUACCCGGGUAGUCCUAGCCGUAAACGAUGCGAGCUAGGUGUCACGUGGAUUGCGAAUCCAUGUGGUGCCGAAGGGAAACCGUGAAGCUCGCCGCCUGGGAAGUACGGCCGCAAGGAAAGAAACUUAAAGGAAUUGGCGGGGGAGCAC
rnacentral:rRNA from 1 species